GCCCGGGAGCCGGAGGUGGAGGAGGAGGUGGGAAGGUCGGCGCUAUGCGGCGGGAACCUGCCAAGGGGCGCCAGGAGGUCCUCCCCGCGGAGGAUCCGAAAUCUGAAGGCGCGAAAAGGCUUGGAGCUGGAGGUGAUGGCCAAUACAUUUCUUCUCGGCCCCUUCCAGUUCGUCCAUAAUUUCCUGGCGCAGCUCCGGGAAAAGGUGCACGAACUGCAGGCGCGGCGGUUCUCCACCAGGACCACUCUCGGCAUCGCUGUCUUGUGGCAAUUUUACAUUGGUUACAUUUAG
rnacentral:lncRNA from 1 species